AUGUCUGCACCGGUGGUCAGCGCCACCAUGGGGGCGAUGAACCCCCUCAUCGGCAAGCUCGCCGCACUGAUGGGCGACGAGUACAAGAAGCUCACGUCAGUCAGGAAGCAGGCCUCGUUCCUCAAGGACGAGCUUAGCGCCAUGAAAGCUCUCCUUGAGAAGCUUGAGCUCAUGGAUGAACUGGAUCCCUUGGCCAAGAACUGGAGGGAUCAUGUGAGGGAGAUGUCCUAUGACAUGGAGAAUUGCAUCGAUGACUUCAUGCGAGACCUUGGAGGUGCCGAUGCCAAGUCGGGCUUUAUAAAGAAGACGGUUAAACGUCUCAAGAUGUUGCGAAAGCAUCAUCGUAUUGCUGAUCGGAUGGAAGAGCUCAAGGCUCUUGCUCUACAGGCAAAUGAACGACGCAUGAGGUACAAGAUUGACGAUAGCAUCAACUCUACUACUCAUGUCAUUGCUGUUGAUCCUCGUUUGUCGGCGAUCUACAAGGAGGUAGCGGGCCUUGUGGGUAUUGAUGGCCCAAAGAAAGAACUUAAAAGUUGGUUACAAAAUACCCAAGAAAAACUCAAAGUGGUGGCUAUUGUUGGAUUCGGAGGUCUUGGUAAAACUACACUUGCCAAACAAGUGUAUGAUGAGAUAGGAGAGCAAUUCAAUUGUAAGGCAUUUGUAUCGGUUUCUCAAAGACCUGAUAUGACAAACCUCCUCCGUAGCCUACAGUUGGAUCUCAAGGUGGAGGAGUCAUCUCGUACUAACGAGGUACAAGAUAUCAUUGCUCGUCUUAGAGAGCAUCUCACACAUAAAAGGUACCUUAUUGUAGUUGAUGACUUAUGGAAUCAAUCAGCAUGGAAUAUCAUGAGUUGUAUCUUUCCAGAAGUCGGGAAUGGAAGUAGAGUAAUAGUAACUACACGAGUGGAGGAUGUGGCUAUUUGGGCGUGUCACAAUGACCAUGAGUGUGUUUAUAGAAUGGAACCCCUCAAAGAACAAGACUCAAGAAUGUUGUUCUGUAAUAGAGUAUUUGGUUCCGGAUAUGCCUGCCCAUCACACUUAAAAGAAGUUUUGGUUGAAAUUUUGAAGAAGUGUGGAGGCUUGCCACUUGCAAUCAUCACUAUAGCUAGUCUAUUAGCUAGUCAUCAAACAAGGUCAACGGACAAGUGGGAGAGCAUAAGAAAUUCUUUGGGCGCCAAGAUUGCCACAAAUCCCACCUUAGAAGAGAUGAGGAGUAUACUAAACCUUAGCUACAUGCAUCUUCCUCUUCAUCUUCGCCCAUGUCUCCUGUAUCUUGGCAUGUAUCCAGAAGACGAAAUGGUCAGGAGGCAUGAUCUGGUUUUACAAUGGAUAGCUGAAGGCCUUGUCAAUUGUUCUCAUGGGUCAGACUUGGAGGAUACCGGGAAGAGUUAUUUUAAUGAGCUUAUCAAUAGAAGCCUGAUUCAGCCGGCUGAGACCUCAAAGUCUGGAGAGGUGGAGUAUUGCAGAGUACAUGAUAUAAUGCUUGAUCUGAUCGUCAGCAAAUGUGCAGACCAAAAUUUUAUCAACGUGGCAUAUAAUUGUGAAGGCAUGGCAAGAAUGCAUGCCUGUGAGUACAAGGUCCGUAGGUUGUCCUUGAAAUCAAGCACCAAUGAUGCAACAUUGAGGAUCGUUGAUACUAGCAUGUCACAAGUUCGAUCAUUUGCACAAUUUGGAGAGUCCAAGUACACACCUCCUCUUUCACUAUUUAAGUACCUUCGGGUGCUGGUGUUUAUAUUCCCAUUUACGAGGAGUACGAUAGUCGACCUCACUGCAAUCGGUCAAUUGUUUCAGCUAAGAUAUCUGAAGGUUUCUACAUUCCCAAGCUCAAUAGAUCUGCCUGCUGAAGUUCGCGGGCUUGUUCAUUUGGAGACCCUGGAAAUAUCUGGUGGUGCACGAAGCAUCCCGUCAGAUAUUGUUUGCUUGCCACGGUUGUCUCGUCUGAUCCUUCCGAUUCAACCAUGUCCUCCUCAAGGGAUUUCCAACAUAAAAUCAUUGCGUGCACUACACUGUAUGAAUAUCUCGCUAGAGGAUAUUAAGGGCCUUGGUGAGCUGACCAGCCUGAGGGAGUUGAGGAUUUAUACUGAUGUGGUGGCGGGUGAAGUUGAUGCUUUGGUAUCCCUAAUUGGAAAGCUCCAUGGCCUAAAAUACCUCAAGGUCAGUGCUUUGUCUUCUCAACAUCAUUGCGGCCCGAUGUACUCAUUAUCCAACCCUCCUCUCCAUAUCGAGGAUAUUAAGGGCAUUGGCGAUGAGCUGACUGGUCUGAGAAUGCUGAGCUUCUCUGGCAAAAUGGUGGCGGAGGAGAUAGUUGAUGCUUUGGUCUCCUCAAUUGCGAGGCUCCGUGACCUCAAAUACCUCUUUGUCAGUGCUAAUGGUGUGUUUUCUAAACAUUCUUGUUGCCGGAUGUACUCGUUAUCCAACCCUCCUCUCCAUAUCGAGGUUCUUUAUAUGCUAGGAUGGAUAUUGAAGAGAGUUCCCAAUUGGAUUGGCGACCUCCAUUGCCUCCGCAGCCUGACUUUGUCGGUUGAGUAG
rnacentral:rRNA from 1 species